UAACCUGAGUAAAGUGGCGUACGGGUGAGUAACACGUGGAUAAUCUACCUCUUAGCGGGGAAUACCUCUGGGAAACCGGAGACAAUACCGCAUAAGCUCGAGAGAGGAAACCCGAAAGGGGCUGAGAGAGGAGUCCGCGGCCGAUUAGCUAGUUGGUAGGGUAAAAGCCUACCAAGGCCACGAUCGAUAGCCGGCCUGAGAGGGCACACGGCCACACUGGCACUGAAACACGGGCCAG
rnacentral:rRNA from 1 species